rnacentral:rRNA from 1 species
UACGGGAGGCCACAGUGGGGAAUUUUGGACAAUGGGGGAAACCCUGAUCCAGCAAUGCCGCGUGUGUGAAGAAGGCCUUCGGGUUGUAAAGCACUUUUGUUCGGGAAGAAAACGUCUUAGCUAAUAUCUAGGGCGGAUGACGGUACCGGAAGAAUAAGCACCGGCUAACUACGUGCCAGCAGCCGCGGUAAUACGUAGGGUGCGAGCGUUAAUCGGAAUUACUGGGCGUAAAGCGUGCGCAGGCGGUUUGUUAAGACGGAUGUGAAAUCCCCGGGCUCAACCUGGGAACUGCAUUCGUGACUGGCAAGCUAGAGUAUGGCAGAGGGGGGUAGAAUUCCACGUGUAGCAGUGAAAUGCGUAGAGAUGUGGAGGAAUACCGAUGGCGAAGGCAGCCCCCUGGGCCAAUACUGACGCUCAUGCACGAAAGCGUGGGGAGCAAACAGGAUUAGAUACCCUGGUAGUCCACGCCCUAAACGAUGUCAACUAGUUGUUGGGGAUUCAUUUCCUUAGUAACGUAGCUAACGCGUGAAGUUGACCGCCUGGGGAGUACGGUCGCAAGAUUAAAACUCAAAGGAAUUGACGGCGGGCGGGGGCGGCGGGACGGGCGCGGG